CCCCGCCCAUCGCUCCCGUCAGUCCUCCCCCGUGCAGGAGCAUCUCCCAGGGGCCAGACGUAGGUGUGGCAGCAGAACGGGCUCGCGAGGAGCUGGGACGCCUUGUCCAUUUUUCUUUAUAGAAAAAGGUUUUUGAUGUUGAUACUGAUGUUUUAUUCUUUCAUCAUCUCCCCAAGAGCUCUUUCCCUCCCGAGACUGACAUCAUCCUGCAGGAUAAAUAAUAUUCUUAUAGAAGCAACAAAGUUAGCGGCCCCGAUGCGUCCACUGAACGUGUCCUAAAACCACACCUGGGACCUCCUACCCCAGGAAGGGGGUUGGGUCAGGGGGCGUCACUUCUCGUUGAGGCCGCUACUCCUAGUUCCUGUCCUGUUCCCAAAGCCCUUCCAGCUAUGGCUUUAGCUAGUCAGCCAAUCGAUAAACAAUUACUAAGUGCGGCACAAAAGGCAAAAUACAAUCCCCGUGCUCCAGGAGCUUAACGGGGGGGAAGCCCCCGAGGAUGUGCAAACAAGGCAGGACGCACAGGAGGGCAGAGGGAAAUGCUUCAGAACCAGGCAGGGUUGGGAAAGAGAGAGGCAGAGGCUGGGAACCUGAAGAAAGGAAGGUCUGUAGACGGACGAAGAUGGUGAGCGCCCCUACCCUGGGGGCAGCCAGAGAAAACGCCUGCCAGCAAAGAGAGUCCUGUCCCUGGAACAGCAAGGACGCCGUUGUCGCCGGGUCCGUGAUCCCGAGCUGGGCAGUAAUGGAAGAUGCCUGGAUGGCAGAAAGAAUUGCUACCAUGAAGCAUCCUCUUCCCUUGCAUUUCUCAUUUGCCUUAGAGCUUGGAUGAGAUAAGCAUCAACAACUCUUCUUUUGGAGAAGAUGGAAGACCACUGGGCCUUACCUCUAACCCUGUCAUCCUGUACCUCAUAUCUGCUUACCCACUUACAUGACUCAAGGAUCUUGGGGGUUUUCCUAGAACUAUUCCUUCACACAUGACCCUUCUGGGAUUUUCCAUCUGAUCUUUUUUUAAAAAUGUGUUGUUUCCCCUAACUUGAGGGCAAAUUUUUAGAAAUCAGGGACUUUUUUUUUUUUUUUUUAAUCUUAGUGCUCAGAUCAUAAGGAGCUCUUCACAAAUUCUUUUUCAUUCAUUUGUUUAGUCUCUAGGGGUUUUUAACCCACUUCCCAUUCCCUUUGACAGGUCAGAAGGUGGGAGGACUUGGACUGGUGGGGAGGUCUGGGGGAUGAACCUCAGUAAGCAAAAGCUCUGAGACAGUAAGGAGCAUGCAUGUAAUAUGGAGACAGCCCAGCUGGAACCCAUGGGGGAAUAGUAGGAGGAGAUAAAGUCAGAUAAGUCGGGUGGGGCCUGAUUGUGGAAGGGGCUGAAUGGUACAUUGAGAAGUUGGACUUUAUCCUGCAGACAUUGAGGAGCCACUGUUCAAGGCGGCUUGAGCUAAAGACUCACACAAUUGCCUUUUGGGGCCAGUCACCCUGAAAUUUUCAGUGACUUAUUACUGCCAGUAGAUGUCAAUGUUUCAGUAAAUUUCAAAGGCCUUCCAUGUUCUCAGUCUGAUUUCCACCAGCUGGCUUGGUCCAUGGAAGAAGAAAAAGGCCAGAAAUCCUGCCUCUUCUCUCUUUGCUUUAUCUUUUAAUGAUCUUAUCCAAAUCCACAGUUUCAGUUUUCAUUUGUAUACUGAUAUCUCUUAAAUGAAUAAAUAUCACCAGAGCCCUGG